GAGGUCGGCCGCGUGGCUGGAAGACAUGGCCACUCCAGUCGGUGUUGAGCACGGCGAGCAGUCUCAGGCCUUUAGUGAUGAUGGUGCAGUCAGCCUCAGUUUCCAAAGCCGGAAAAGGAUCCUCUAGUAGCCACGGUGUGGCAGCUGCUCUGAACCAGGACCUGGACCCGGACCCAAAGUGCCAUGUCUUUAAUAAAAACAGCCUUGACAUAUGCUGUUGUGUCCAAAAUUGGUGGAUUCCUGACUUCACUGACCUCAAGAAGGAAGCCACAGACCCUCACGCUGCCUCCUCUUCUGAAAUUUAACUUGCAGUAUCAUUGAAGCUGAGUACAAAGAGAACCAAAGACACCACCUGUGGCAGUCCCGAGGUGAAUGUGAUAAACCAUUGAAGGAGCUGAGCGUCUGACAGCCUGUGAGCAUAGCCUGUCCCAUCUUAGUAAGAGCCACAAAAAGUAAUUAAAGUACUGAAAAGAAUGAGAAAAGGGAGAUUUUCAAAAA
rnacentral:lncRNA from 1 species